UACGAAGGGGGCUAGCGUUGCUCGGAAUCACUGGGCGUAAAGCGCACGUAGGCGGCCAACUAAGUCAGACGUUAAAUCCCCAGGCUCAACCUGGGAACUGCGUCUGAUACUGGAUGGAUUGAAUCCGGGAGAGGGAUGCAGAAUUCCAGGUGUAGCGGUGAAAUGCGUAGAUAUCUGGAGGAAUACCGGUGGCGAAGGCGGCAUCCUGGACCGGCAUUGACGCUGAGGAGCGAAAGCUAGGGGAGCAAACGGG
rnacentral:rRNA from 1 species